GAUGAACGCUGGCGGCGUGCCUAAUACAUGCAAGUCGAGCGGACGGACGCUAAGCUUGCGUCUUUGAUGUUAGCGGCAGGCGGGAGAGUAACACGUGGAUCACCUACCUAUAUUUCGGGGAUAACUUCGGAAAACCGGAUAUAAUACCAUAGAAUAUUUUGCACCGCGUGGUUCAAAAGAGAAUUACGGUCUUGGUGUCUCUAAUAGCUGCUUCCGCGCUGCAUUAGCUAGUUGGUAAGGUCACGGCGUACCAAGGCAACGAUGCAUAGCCGAACUGAGAGGGUGAUCGGCCACACUGGAACUGAGACACGGUCCAGACUCCUACGGGAGGCAGCAGUAGGGAAUCUUCCGCAAUGGGCGGAAGCCUGACCGAGCAACGCCGCGUGAGUGAUGAAGGUCUUCGGGUCGUAAAACUCUGUUAUUAGGGAAGAAAAAAUGUGCAAGUAUCUCUGAACGUCAUGACGGUACCUAAGUAAAAAGCCACGGCUAACUUCGUG
rnacentral:rRNA from 1 species